ACUCCUACGGGAGGCAGCAGUGGGGAAUUUUGGACAAUGGGCGAAAGCCUGAUCCAGCAAUGCCGCGUGAGUGAAGAAGGCCUUCGGGUUGUAAAGCUCUUUGUCAGGGAAGAAACGGUGAGGGCUAAUAUCUCUUGCUAAUGACGGUACCUGAAGAAUAAGCACCGGCUAACUACGUGCCAGCAGCCGCGGUAAUACGUAGGGUGCAAGCGUUAAUCGGAAUUACUGGGCGUAAAGCGUGCGCAGGCGGUUUUGUAAGUCUGAUGUGAAAUCCCCCGGGCUCAACCUGGGAAUUGCAUUGGAGACUGCAAGGCUAGAAUCUGGCAGAGGGGGUUAGAAUUCCACGUGUAGCAGUGAAAUGCGUAGAUAUGUGGAGGAACACCGAUGGCGAAGGCAGCCCCCUGGGUCAAGAUUGACGCUCAUGCACGAAAGCGUGGGGAGCAAACAGGAUUAGAUACCCCUGGUAGCGACUGA
rnacentral:rRNA from 1 species